rnacentral:rRNA from 1 species
CGCUAGCUACAGGCUUAACACAUGCAAGUCGAGGGGCAGCAUGGUCUUAGCUUGCUAAGGCCGAUGGCGACCGGCGCACGGGUGAGUAACACGUAUCCAACCUGCCGUCUACUCUUGGACAGCCUUCUGAAAGGAAGAUUAAUACAAGAUGGCAUCAUGAGUCCACAUGUUCACAUGAUUAAAGGUAUUCCGGUAGACGAUGGGGAUGCGUUCCAUUAGAUAGUAGGCGGGGUAACGGCCCACCUAGUCUUCGAUGGAUAGGGGUUCUGAGAGGAAGGUCCCCCACAUUGGAACUGAGACACGGUCCAAACUCCUACGGGAGGCAGCAGUGAGGAAUAUUGGUCAAUGGGCGAGAGCCUGAACCAGCCAAGUAGCGUGAAGGAUGACUGCCCUAUGGGUUGUAAACUUCUUUUAUAAAGGAAUAAAGUCGGGUAUGCAUACCCGUUUGCAUGUACUUUAUGAAUAAGGAUCGGCUAACUCCGUGCCAGCAGCCGCGGUAAUACGGAGGAUCCGAGCGUUAUCCGGAUUUAUUGGGUUUAAAGGGAGCGUAGAUGGAUGUUUAAGUCAGUUGUGAAAGUUUGCGGCUCAACCGUAAAAUUGCAGUUGAUACUGGAUAUCUUGAGUGCAGUUGAGGCAGGCGGAAUUCGUGGUGUAGCGGUGAAAUGCUUAGAUAUCACGAAGAACUCCGAUUGCGAAGGCAGCCUGCUAAGCUGCAACUGACAUUGAGGCUCGAAAGUGUGGGUAUCAAACAGGAUUAGAUACCCUGGUAGUCCACACGGUAAACGAUGAAUACUCGCUGUGUGCGAUAUACUGCAAGCGGCCAAGCGAAAGCGUUAAGUAUUCCACCUGGGGAGUACGCCGGCAACGGUGAAACUCAAAGGAAUUGACGGGGGCCCGCACAAGCGGAGGAACAUGUGGUUUAAUUCGAUGAUACGCGAGGAACCUUACCCGGGCUUAAAUUGCAGAUGAAUUACGGUGAAAGCCGUAAGCCGCAAGGCAUCUGUGAAGGUGCUGCAUGGUUGUCGUCAGCUCGUGCCGUGAGGUGUCGGCUUAAGUGCCAUAACGAGCGCAACCCUUGUUGUCAGUUACUAACAGGUUCUGCUGAGGACUCUGACAAGACUGCCAUCGUAAGAUGUGAGGAAGGUGGGGAUGACGUCAAAUCAGCACGGCCCUUACGUCCGGGGCUACACACGUGUUACAAUGGGGGGUACAGAGGGCCGCUACCACGCGAGUGGAUGCCAAUCCCAAAAACCUCUCUCAGUUCGGACUGGAGUCUGCAACCCGACUCCACGAAGCUGGAUUCGCUAGUAAUCGCGCAUCAGCCACGGCGCGGUGAAUACGUUCCCGGGCCUUGUACACACCGCCCGUCAAGCCAUGGGAGCCGGGGGUACAAGAAGUGCGUAACCGCGAGGAGCGCCCUAGGGUAAAAC